rnacentral:rRNA from 1 species
AUGCAGGAGCCCGGGCGGCGGCCGUUCGCCGGCGCCGUCGACCUGCGCCGGCCCAAGGGCUACCCGGCGCCGUCGGCGACCCCGCAGCCGCAGGCGGAGGCGGGGGCGGGGGAUGCGCACGGUGACCCCUGCCCGCGGUGCGAGUCGCGGGACACCAAGUUCUGCUACUACAACAACUACAACACCUCCCAGCCGCGCCACUACUGCAAGUCCUGCCGCCGCUACUGGACCAAGGGCGGCACCCUCCGCAACGUCCCCGUCGGCGGCGGCUCGCGCAAGAGCUCCUCCUCGUCGUCGUCGUCUUCGUCCAGCCCCAAGCGCGCCAAGAACUCCAAGCGCCGCCGCGUCGCGCCGGCCGCGCCCCCGGAGCCCGAGGCCGAGCACGACGCCGACGCCUCAGCCGCAGCCGCCGUCGCCGCGAGGACGAAGGAGGCCGCGGCCACCACCGAGGACGUGACAACAGCUGACGAUCCCGCCGCAGCCCCUGCGGCCGACGGGUGUUUCGCUUUCACGGCCGGCGAGCCCGACGCGCCACCUGCGGCGGAAGGGUGUUUCACUUUCUUGGCCAGCGAGCUCGACGCGCCACCCGCGGCGGAGGGAGACAGGGGUUUGGCUUUCACGGCCGCCGAGCCGGACGCGCCACCCGCGGCGGACGGAGACGGGGGCCUCGCUUUCACCGAUCACCCGUCGGUGGCGCUCGGGCUCGGCGUGGCGGACGACGCCGGCGGGAAGGAGCUGGCGGACCCGAGCCCGUUCGAGUGGCCGUCGGGCUGCGACCUGGGGUCCUACUGGGUGGCCGGCGUGUUCGCCGACACCGAUCCGGCGCUGUUCCUCAGCCCGCCGUGA